rnacentral:rRNA from 1 species
UGGGGAAUAUUGCACAAUGGGCGCAAGCCUGAUGCAGCCAUGCCGCGUGUGUGAAGAAGGCCUUCGGGUUGUAAAGCACUUUCAGCGGGGAGGAAGGCGGUGAGGUUAAUAACCUCAUCGAUUGACGUUACCCGCAGAAGAAGCACCGGCUAACUCCGUGCCAGCAGCCGCGGUAAUACGGAGGGUGCAAGCGUUAAUCGGAAUUACUGGGCGUAAAGCGCACGCAGGCGGUUUGUUAAGUCAGAUGUGAAAUCCCCGGGCUCAACCUGCGAGCUGCAUCUGAUAGUGGCAAGCUUGAGUCUCGUAGAGGGGGGUAGAAUUCCAGGUGUAGCGGUGAAAUGCGUAGAGAUCUGGAGGAAUACCGGUGGCGAAGGCGGCCCCCUGGACGACGACUGACGCUCAGGUGCGAAAGCGUGGGGAGCAAACAGG